rnacentral:rRNA from 1 species
AUACGAAAGGUGCAAGCGUUGUUCGGAUUUACUGGGCGUAAAGAGAGUGUAGGUGGUUUAUUAAGUCGGAUGUGAAAUCCCGGGGCUCAACCUCGGAACUGCAUUCGAUACUGGUAGACUAGAGUUCGGGAGGGGUAAGCGGAAUUCCGUGUGUAGCAGUGAAAUGCGUAGAUAUACGGAGGAACACCUGAGGCGAAGGCGGCUUACUGGACCGAUACUGACACUGAGACUCGAAAGCGUGGGUAGCAAACAGGAUUAGAAACCCCUGUAGUCC